rnacentral:rRNA from 1 species
CCUACGGGUGGCUGCAGUGGGGAAUAUUGGACAAUGGGGGGAACCCUGAUCCAGCCAUGCCGCGUGUGUGAAGAAGGCCCUCGGGUUGUAAAGCACUUUCAGUGAGGAAGAACACCUGGUGGUUAAUACCCAUCAGGAAAGACAUCACUCACAGAAGAAGCACCGGCUAACUCCGUGCCAGCAGCCGCGGUAAUACGGAGGGUGCGAGCGUUAAUCGGAAUUACUGGGCGUAAAGCGCGCGUAGGUGGCUUGAUAAGCCGGUUGUGAAAGCCCCGGGCUCAACCUGGGAACGGCAUCCGGAACUGUCAAGCUAGAGUGCAGGAGAGGAAGGUAGAAUUCCCGGUGUAGCGGUGAAAUGCGUAGAGAUUGGGAGGAAUACCAGUGGCGAAGGCGGCCUUCUGGACUGACACUGACACUGAGGUGCGAAAGCGUGGGUAGCAAACAGGAUUAGAUACCCUGGUAGUC